UCCGACCCGCCCAGGCCCGAGUGCCGCAGCCGCCACCACCAGUGCCCGCGGAGCGCCCGACCCAGAGUUUCCUUCUCCCGUGCGGUUCCUCCCCGGCCUCCCUCGUGCCGCCCCAACCUCCACCGCCUCCCACCACAUCUCACCGGCAGCCCAGAAACUCCGCGCCACCUGCCGCCCCUACCUAGCAGCGCGACCCGACCCCUUCCACCACCCGCGCUAUUGCGCUCCUCCCGCGUAUGGCCACCAGCGCCGGAUCCGGCCACCGCGGAGCGCUGCGGCGCCAACCACCGCCUACAGCGCUAGAUCCGGUCGUCCCCGGCCAUCUACCACCUUCUUCUACCUUGAGCCGUAGGAGAGAUCCCCCCUCUCUCCGCAGUUUGGCGCUGGAAGCCAGGCUCAUGGACCACGCCGCUGUGACUGGAUGGGCCGUUCCCCUCGUCCCUUCUUCCUCACAUGCGAGCAUGCGCAGCUCACAUGUCGCUCACUUCUCUGUUAAGGAGGUGAGCAGGUGGUCCACCACCUUCCUCUGGCUGUCACCUCCACGACACCCACCCACAUGGUGGACCGCAGUGAAGAUGUCGGCCAUCUCACGGUGAAAAUCCCAGCCGGCGCGGACUUGCAAUUUGUUUCGUGUGCGUGCAAUACUCCAGGUGCAGUGCAUCGGCCACGCUGCUUGCGUUCAGGCAUCACGGGAGUUGCAGUUCGGUGCAGUGGCAAAAGUUUGAUUUGUGCAAUUUAAGGUUAAGUUUUCAGUUCAGCUCCCUGUUUCACGGGAUAUGUGUAGUUCAGUACUGCGUGCUAGCAGAUUCAGUGUUGUUGUGUGUGUGCAGUGCAGUUCAUCGGUGGGGCAAUCUGGCUGGUGGCCAUGUGUUGUUCUUGCUCCUACCUCGGAUCCAAUUCUCCACGACAUCCAGGUCUGUGAGUGUGGUUUGGGCAGCACAUGCAGCUGACAGCGCGGUGUUGGUUUAGCUCGUUGGCAUGCGGUUCUGUACCGCGGGCGUGCAGCUCACCAGUGUCAAGCUUGCAGUUCCUUGGCGUUGGCAAUCAAUUCUUGUUGGCGUGCCUCUCUAGGCUCCUACCAUAGACCUGGAUAUGUGGAUAGAUUUCAUUUAUUCAAUGGUUCAUUGAUGCACGAGUAAACUUGCAAAGCGGCAUCCUGCUUAUGUAGCUUUCCGUCCAUUGACUAGCCGGCUAUCCAUGCAACUGGUAAUGACUGUGCAGCAGCCAAACAUAAAUAAAAAUCAUACAUCCGGCCUAUAAUCCCUUGCAAUUGAUUAUAUAUUUUAACAAACACGAGAUGACAAAACAUCAUUUAAUUUUAAGAGAAUCAAUAAAUUAUAGAAACUGAAGUGGCAUAUAUAUGACGGUUUGAUCUGUAGGCCUUUUAUGUUUUUUUCCAAAAGCAGAGAAGGCAGAAGAAUCUCAUCUCCAACGUGUUCAGCACAGAGAAGAUGAACCAUGCAAAAACUCAAGGUGGACCAUGGUGGCUUCACAGCUGGCGGAACGGCAGAGGGCUUGGCUGCUGCCAGGGUGAUUCAAAGGGAGUAUAUAGGUAGAGUUUUUGCAGCCUCUUGCACGAACAUGAUUAAUGGUAGCUUCUAUUCCAUGACAUGAUUUUGCAGCUGUAAUGAUAUGUUUCAUGCGAGAGGACAUAAAUUUGCAUCAUAUUUUUCUGUCCAGUUAGUUCCAAAUUACAAUGUUUGUGCUAUCAGUGACAAUUCGGUGGAAUAAGAUGAGUCAUAUAUACACCGAAUGUAAGCUUUCACAUCAGCCUUUGCUCUUGAUUGUCUUUGCAAGUCCAUAGAUAUAAUUUUUAGGAUUUUCCUUUACUCAUAGUAAGUGCUGAAUAUUUUGUCCUUUAACCCUUUAGGUGUAAAUACCUGUGAUGUGGCUAGCAAAGUUGGUAACACGCACAGUAUAACCAUUAUGAUCUGCACAGGGAUAUCACCUAGGUGCAUAAAUCAUAAUCAUUCAGAUUUUAUUUGGCAAGCUGGAGCUACCCGGAACUUUCGAUUUGGUGCCAAGAUGGAUGGACUCAACUGAGUGACCCACUGUCAGGUCAUAAAUCAUUUCUUUUGUUGAAGGAAGAGACUCCAUUUUCUGUUGAGGACCGAAUCGCACUAACCAAUCGGCUUACUUGGUUAGAAGAAACUGAGAAAGGGGAGCAUCUUACACCUAAUAGGAAGCGGUGGUCUAAUCCUAAUCCCACCCAAUAGACAUACAUUACUACAAAAUUUUCUUGCAUGCCGCCGCCCAUAUUUUUUCAUUACUAACAUAACCUUUUUAGAUCACCCGCAAAAAAAACCUUUUUAGGUCAAGCGUGCCUUGCAUUACAUUUGGUCUACUAUACUGCAACUUCAAACCACAAUCCCUCUGUAUGUUGACUGUAUUUUUUGGAAUUGAAUUAUGUAUUCAAAGCUAUUGUUCAGCAUAGACACCGUUUAAAAAUCAUACAAGGGGCACACAAAAUGUACAUGUACUCUUCUGUUUGAAUAUAUGUCUAUAAAUGGAUUAACUGAGCCAAAGGCAGUGCCUUUUUCAUA